CAUUUAUCAGACCAAAAACCGGACCGCGUCUUCGGGCGCGUUCGCCUUGGUGACUCUGGAUAACUUUGCGGAUCGCACGGUCUAGCACCGGCGACGGAUCAUUCAAGUGUCUGCCCUAUCAACUUUCGUCGGUACGGUAUUUGCCUACCGAGGUUCUUACGGGUGACGGGGAAUCAGGGUUCGAUUCCGGAGAGGGAGCCUGAGAAACGGCUACCACAUCCAAGGAAGGCAGCAGGCGCGCAAAUUACCCAUUCCCGACGCGGGGAGGUAGUGACGAAAAAUAACAAUGCAGGACUCGUUCGAGGCCCUGUAAUUGGAAUGAGUACACUUUAAAAGCUUUAACGAGUAUCCAUUGGAGGGCAAGUCUGGUGCCAGCAGCCGCGGUAAUUCCAGCUCCAAAAGUAUAUAUUUAAGUUGUUGCGGUUAAAAAGCUCGUAGUUGGAUUUUGGGCGCAGGCGGCCGGUCCGUCGCAAGGCGUGUACUGGACGUCCUGGCCUUCCCUCCGGUUCUCCGCCGGUGCUCUUGACUGAGUGUCGGCGGCGGCCGGAACGUUUACUUUGAAAAAAUUAGAGUGUUCAAAGCAGGCUCUCGAGCCUGGAUAAUGGUGCAUGGAAUAAUGGAAUAGGACCUCGGUUCUAUUUUGUUGGUUUUCGGAGCGCGAGGUAAUGAUUAAGAGGGACAGACGGGGGCAUUCGUACUGUGCCGAUAGAGGUGAAAUUCUUGGAUCGGCGC
rnacentral:ncRNA from 1 species